GAUGAACGCUGGCGGCGUGCCUAAUACAUGCAAGUCGAGCGAACAGACGAGGAGCUUGCUCCUCUGACGUUAGCGGCGGACGGGUGAGUAACACGUGGAUAACCUACCUAUAAGACUGGGAUAACUUCGGGAAACCGGAGCUAAUACCGGAUAACAUGUUGAACCGCAUGGUUCAACAGUGAAAGACGGUUUUGCUGUCACUUAUAGAUGGAUCCGCGUCGCAUUAGCUAGUUGGUAAGGUAACGGCUUACCAAGGCAACGAUGCGUAGCCGACCUGAGAGGGUGAUCGGCCACACUGGAACUGAGACACGGUCCAGACUCCUACGGGAGGCAGCAGUAGGGAAUCUUCCGCAAUGGGCGAAAGCCUGACGGAGCAACGCCGCGUGAGUGAAGAAGGUCUUCGGAUCGUAAAACUCUGUUAUUAGGGAAGAACAAAUGUGUAAGUAACUAUGCACGUCUUGACGGUACCUAAUCAGAAAGCCGCGGCUAACUACGUG
rnacentral:rRNA from 1 species